UACAGGGGGUGCAAACGUUGCUCGGAAUUAUUGGGCGUAAAGCGCGCGUAGGCGGCUACUUAAGUCGGAUGUGAAAGCCCUUGGCUCAACUGAGGAAGUGCACCCGAAACUGAGUGGCUUGAGUACUAAAGAGGGUCGCGGAAUUCCCGGUGUAGAGGUGAAAUGCGCAGAUAUCAGGAGGAACACCGAUGGCGAAGGCGGCUUCCUGGACCGACACUGACGCUGAGGCGCGAAAGCCAGGGGAGCAAACGGG
rnacentral:rRNA from 1 species